GAUGAAGAACGUAGCGAAAUGCGAUACGUAAUGUGAAUUGCAGAAUUCAGUGAAUCAUCGAGUCUUUGAACGCACAUUGCGCCCCCUGGUAUUCCGGGGGGCAUGCCUGUCCGAGCGUCAUUGCUGCCCUCAAGCACGGCUUGUGUGUUGGGCCUCCGUCCUCCUCCCGGGGGACGGGCCCGAAAGGCAGCGGCGGCACCGCGUCCGGUCCUCGAGCGUAUGGGGCUUCGUCACCCGCUCUUGUAGGCCCGGCCGGCGCUUGCCGACACAUCAAUCUUUUUUCCAGGUUGACCUCGGAUCAGGUAGGGAAACCCGCUGAACUUAAGCAUAUCAAUAAGCGGAGGA
rnacentral:misc_RNA from 1 species